CCUACGGGAGGCAGCAGUGGGGAAUAUUGCACAAUGGGGGAAACCCUGAUGCAGCGACGCCGCGUGAGUGAAGAAGUAAUUCGUUAUGUAAAGCUCUAUCAGCAGGGAAGAAAAUGACGGUCCCUGAGUAAGAAGCCCCGGCUAACUACGUGCCAGCAGCCGCGGUACUACGUAGGGGGCAAGCGUUAUCCGGAUUUACUGGGUGUAAAGGGAGCGUAGACGGCAGUGCAAGUCUGGAGUGAAAGGCGGGGGCUCAACCCCCGGACUGCUCUUGAAACUGUACGGCUGGAGUGCAGGAGAGGUAAGUGGAAUUCCUAGUGUAGCGGUGAAAUGCGUAGAUAUUAGGAGGAACACCAGUGGCGAAGGCGGCUUACUGGACUGUAACUGACGUUGAGGCUCGAAAGCGUGGGGAGCAAACAGGAUUAGAUACCCCAGUAGUC
rnacentral:rRNA from 1 species